UACGUAGGGUGCAAGCGUUAGUCGGAAUUACUGGGCGUAAAGCGUGCGCAGGCGGUUUUGUAAGUCUGAUGUGAAAUGCCCGGGCUCAACCUGGGAAUUGCAUUGGAGACUGCAAGGCUAGAAUCUGGCAGAGGGGGGUAGAAUUCCACGUGUAGCAGUGAAAUGCGUAGAGAUGUGGAGGAACACCGAUAGCGAAGGCAGC
rnacentral:rRNA from 1 species